rnacentral:misc_RNA from 1 species
GAUGAAGAACGUAGCGAAAUGCGAUAAGUAAUGUGAAUUGCAGAAUUCAGUGAAUCAUCGAAUCUUUGAACGCACAUUGCGCCCGCCAGUAUUCUGGCGGGCAUGCCUGUUCGAGCGUCAUUUCAACCAUCAAGCCCCCGGCUUGUGUUGGGGACCUGCGGCUGCCGCAGGCCCUGAAAACCAGUGGCGGGCUCGCUAGUCACUCCGAGCGUAGUAAUACAUCUCGCUCUGGGCGUGCUGCGGGUUCCGGCCGUUAAAAAGCCUUAUUUACCCAAGGUUGACCUCGGAUCAGGUAGGAAGACCCGCUGAACUUAAGCAUAUCAAUAAGCGGAGGA